GAUACAGAGUUUUCUGUGGGUUCAACCCAUAAGGGAAGAGGUUACACUCCACAGCUGAGCUGUGGAAUAUCCUUGCAAAUCAGAACAUGCGUAGUGCCUGUCUGUGAAUGCAGGGAAUGCCUUUCCAUCUCUGUUUUCAGACAUCUCAAAACUUAUUGCAGAUUUUUACUUGCUGGGCUGUUUUUUGUGGAGGUUGGUUUGGGUUUUAGCACUUGGAAAUCUACUAAGUAGUUUCUGAAGAGCGAGCUUCUUGGAGAAAUCUUUAUAUUCUCCUGAGGCAAUUUUUUAAUUGCUGAAAGGUGCACUUGAAUGGCACUUGUGGUGCAAAAAAAACUUAAACCUGAAAAAGCCUCAAACUGUGAUGCUUUCUCCUGGCUGCUGUUGGGGAUGGAGUUUAAUAAUCAAGUGCUGCUUUUUGAGCUACGUUUUGUUCUACUCCAUCUGAAUGCUGCAUGAGGAGGUAGCAGCUCACUUCUGUGUCAGACCUACUGAAAUACCCAUUCCAGUGUAAAUCAUUGGGGCAGCUUCAUCUGUGAGCAGAGUUAAGGGCAAACGUGUCCUCUUGGCUUGGAAAUGUGUUCCUUGUCUGGGGCUUGCUUCCCUUCAAGCUUUUUAAGUCAAAUGUCAGAUUUGGGCCUUUUGGCUUCCCACGCUGGAUGAGAGCAGUUUCAGUGUAUGAUAUGGAGGAAUCAAGACUUUCAAGACUAAAUGAAACUUCCUUAAAGUAGUUUUGAAAUUAGAAAUUAUUUAAAUGGCUUCAGCCCAGUCAGAGCAGUAAUUAUCUUUUCUUCCCCUCUUCAUCUCAGCCUAAAUGUUAUUGAAGAGUUUUCCAAAUUCUUACUUUAGCAGUCUUUCUAAAUCUGAUCUGGUCACCAGCUAAUGCCAACAAAGUUGUGUUCCCCUCAGUUUCCUUGUAUGGUUACAGGGAAAUUUCAGCCACAUUGCCUUUGUGCAGAGGCAUGAGCUUUGGCUGGAAUUUGGAGGGGAAAAGGAAGAUGUGUCCCCUGUUCUAGCAGAGGGAACUGUGGUGCUUUCAAGUUGAUGGACAGUUCCUCUCAUAAUUCCAAUUCCACGUUUUUCUGAUUUUAGUAACAGAAGUAAUAAACAUUUGCAAUUUGAAUCUAUUUCAGUAUAGCAAAAAUGCUUUUGCUUGUUACAGUUACAUAUAUUCUCCUUUUCAAGUCUUCUUAAGGUGCUCUUCAGAGUUUUGAUCUACUUGUUUUCUAAGUCAGCUGGAGUCUAAACUACUAGAAUAUCCACAGCUGGUUUUGUAUCAAUAGGUUAUGUUCUUGCACAAGGUGAUUUUGCUGCUGAUUGUCAAUAAGGAAAGGCAUAGAAAGGUGUGUUACCCUCUAGGCACACAGGCUGUGGUAACUGGGAGUGGGGCUGGAGCCUCAUCCCCAGUGGGCUGCAGCCGUGCCAGGCAGGUGAACAGCAUUGAAGGUAAGGAGCCAGGAGUGCCCAGGGGCACUGACCAGUCCCCAGGGGAGCAGAGGGCACUCAGGGGCAGUGCAUGGACAGGAGGGUGUAAAAGGCUGGGCUGAGGAACAAGAGGAGCAGAUGCCUGCAGCCUUCUGAAGCGGUAUGAUGUUACUGUGUAUGAGCAGACCUCUGAAGCUUUCUCAUGAGCUUGGUGAAGAGAAGUGUGUCUGGGAACACAGCCACAGAAAUAACUGGAGGCAUACUCAGUGCCCUGAUUUCUGCUCUGUUGAUGCUUUUGACCAGUGGCCUAAUAGAAGCUGUGCUAUUGUUGCUGCGUGCUCCUGCCCAUUACAGAGCGGGGUAUCCAUGGAGAAGAUGCCUUUAUAGCAAGGAACACCUGGCGCAUGAUUCUGCUGGGGAAACAUUAGGAGGGGUGGCUCAGAUGAGCACUCACAGGGUCUGCAAUUGUUUGUUCUAAGCAUGUCCCACUUUCCCAGCUAUAAAUACUAGGAAGAGUGGAAUAAGUAACGACUCUGUUCAAAUAUCUCUCCAGGAGCAGGUACUGAGUGCUGGGGCAUUCAUGUUGAAAAAGUGCUUCUGGGAAUUGAAGGACUGUAUUGCUUAGCAUUUACUUCUUUAAGAAUAGCAGGGGAGGUAACUGAGGUUUGUCUGUGAGCACUGCUGUAGCAUGAACUCAGUAAUAGAAAAUUCAAAGAGCUGUGUCAUGGACUGUUACUUGAAUAAAUGUGGUUCUUGUUUUAUCUUA